UACGUAGGUGGCAAGCGUUUGUCCGGAAUUAUUGGGCGUAAAGCGCGCGCAGGCGGUUCUUUUAAGUCUGAUGUGAAAGCCCACGGCUCAACCGUGGAGGGUCAUUGGAAACUGGGGAACUUGAGUACAGAAGAGGAAAGCGGAAUUCCACGUGUAGCGGUGAAAUGCGUAGAGAUGUGGAGGAACACCAGUGGCGAAGGCGACUUUCUGGUCUAUAACUGACACUGAGGCGCGAAAGCGUGGGGAGCAAACAGG
rnacentral:rRNA from 1 species